CGCGGAGUGGAGCAGUUGGCAGCUCGUCGGGCUCAUAACCCGAAGGUCGCAGGUUCAAAUCCUGCCUCCGCAACCA
rnacentral:tRNA from 1 species